rnacentral:rRNA from 1 species
GCGGCGUGCCUAAUACAUGCAAGUCGAGCGGACAGAUGGGAGCUUGCUCCCUGAUGUUAGCGGCGGACGGGUGAGUAACACGUGGGUAACCUGCCUGUAAGACUGGGAUAACUCCGGGAAACCGGGGCUAAUACCGGAUGGUUGUUUGAACCGCAUGGUUCAAACAUAAAAGGUGGCUUCGGCUACCACUUACAGAUGGACCCGCGGCGCAUUAGCUAGUUGGUGAGGUAACGGCUCACCAAGGCAACGAUGCGUAGCCGACCUGAGAGGGUGAUCGGCCACACUGGGACUGAGACACGGCCCAGACUCCUACGGGAGGCAGCAGUAGGGAAUCUUCCGCAAUGGACGAAAGUCUGACGGAGCAACGCCGCGUGAGUGAUGAAGGUUUUCGGAUCGUAAAGCUCUGUUGUUAGGGAAGAACAAGUACCGUUCGAAUAGGGCGGUACCUUGACGGUACCUAACCAGAAAGCCACGGCUAACUACGUGCCAGCAGCCGCGGUAAUACGUAGGUGGCAAGCGUUGUCCGGAAUUAUUGGGCGUAAAGGGCUCGCAGGCGGUUUCUUAAGUCUGAUGUGAAAGCCCCCGGCUCAACCGGGGAGGGUCAUUGGAAACUGGGGAACUUGAGUGCAGAAGAGGAGAGUGGAAUUCCACGUGUAGCGGUGAAAUGCGUAGAGAUGUGGAGGAACACCAGUGGCGAAGGCGACUCUCUGGUCUGUAACUGACGCUGAGGAGCGAAAGCGUGGGGAGCGAACAGGAUUAGAUACCCUGGUAGUCCACGCCGUAAACGAUGAGUGCUAAGUGUUAGGGGGUUUCCGCCCCUUAGUGCUGCAGCUAACGCA